UGACCCUUACUAAAUGCAAUCUUAUGAUAAUUUGAGUACAAUGUAUAAAGACUUAGAAAAAAAUGUAUUCUCCAACAUUACAUACAAAUGUUUCUGCUGCUUUUAAAACUUUCUGUCAUGAAAGUAAGUUUAUGGGCUGACUUUUUGUGUUUCUUCACAAUUAUAGGUUACAGGAAUUGCAGGCUCAAGUGUCCUGAUAGUUGGAGAAUCAACUAUAUGUCAUAAGUAAAAUGGAGACGAGGUGAGACUUUCUUCUCUUCACAAGCUUGCACGGCACCGUCUCAUGUGAACCAGUCCUCAGAGAAGAUCCCAGAUCAGUUCCAGCUUAAUUCCUCCAAGUAUUGUAUUCAAAGGAUGUGGUGUCUUCAGCUAUAAAGUCCUGAGGCCGCCAAGGGCAAUGGCAAUAGCCUAUAUGGUUUGGGAGUCUCUUGAAAUCCCUGCCAACAAUCUGAAGAGAGGCUUUCAAGAGGCUUUCCAUGCCUGGGCCUGGGGUUUUGUUAGAUGGUCUAUGGCAAUGGGGGCAAGGAUUAUACCCUGUGGCAUUACUUCAUUUAAUAUAUAUAAAAUCUAUAAUAUAUAUUAAUACAUGUUACAUGUAAUAUAAAUAUUCAUUAUAUACUAAAUAUGUUAGUAUAUUUAUACAUUUAAUAUAUACUAAUUGGCUUUGGUAACAUUGGAUUCCCAUUUAAGUGUUAAUACAAAGUUGAAUUUAUUUAAUUUUUAAAUUGUAUUUAUUGGCUGGAGAGAUGGCUCAGCGGUUAAGAGCAUUGCGCAGGUCCUGAGUUAAAUUCCCAGCAACCACAUGGUGGCUCACAACCAUCUGUAAUGAGGU